CCUACGGGGGGCAGCAGUAGGGAAUCGUCCACAAUGGGCGAAAGCCUGAUGGAGCAACGCCGCGUGGGUGAAGAAGGUCUUCGGAUCGUAAAACCCUGUUGUUAGAGAAGAAAGUGCGGGAGAGUAACUGUUCACGUGUCGACGGUAUCUAACCAGAAAGCCACGGCUAACUACGUGCCAGCAGCCGCGGUAAGACGUAGGUGGCAAGCGUUAUCCGGAUUUAUGGGGCGUAAAGGGAACGAAGGCGGUCUUUUAAGUCUGAUGUGAAAGCCUUCGGCUUAACCGGAGUAGUGCAUUGGAAACUGGGAGCCUUGCGUGCAGUAGAGGAGAGUUGAACUCCAUGUGUAGCGGUGACAUGCGUAGAUAUAUGGAAGAACACCAGUGGCGCACGCGGCUCUCUGGUCUGUAACUGACGCUGAGGUUCGACAGCGUGGGUAGCAAACAGGAUUAGAUACCCCUGUAGUC
rnacentral:rRNA from 1 species